AGUGAACGCUGGCGGUAGGCCUAACACAUGCAAGUCGAACGGCAGCACAGUAAGAGCUUGCUCUUACGGGUGGCGAGUGGCGGACGGGUGAGGAAUACAUCGGAAUCUACUUUUUCGUUGGGGAUAACGUAGGGAAACUUACGCUAAUACCGCAUACGACCUACGGGUGAAAGCAGGUGAUCUUCGGACCUUGCGCGAUUGAAUGAGCCGAUGUCGGAUUAGCUAGUUGGCGGGGUAAAGGCCCACCAAGGCGACGAUCCGUAGCUGGUCUGAGAGGAUGAUCAGCCACACUGGAACUGAGACAAGGUCCAGACUCCUACGGGAGGCAGCAGUGGGGAAUAUUGGACAAUGGGCGCAAGCCUGAUCCAGCCAUACCGCGUGGGUGAAGAAGGCCUUCGGGUUGUAAAGCACUUUUGUUGGGAAAGAAAAGCAGCAGGUUAAUACCCCGCUGUUCUGACGGUACCAAAAGAAUAAGCACCGGCUAACUUCGUG
rnacentral:rRNA from 1 species